GGGCCCAUAGCUCAGUUUGGCAGAGCCACCGGCUCAUAACCGGUCGGUCCCUGGUUCGAUCCCAGGUGGGCCCACCA
rnacentral:tRNA from 1 species